AGUGGCGAACGGGUGAGUAAAGUAUCGGAACGUGCCCAGUCGUGGGGGAUAACGUAGCGAAAGUUACGCUAAUACCGCAUACGAUCUAUGGAUGAAAGCGGGGGAUCGCAAGACCUCGCGCGAUUGGAGCGGCCGAUAUCAUAUUAGGUAGUUGGUGGGGUAAAGGCUCACCAAGCCGACGAUCUGUAGCUGGUCUGAGAGGACGACCAGCCACACUGGGACUGAGACACGGCCCACACUCCUACGGGAGGCAGCAGUGGGGAAUUUUGGACAAUGGGCGCAAGCCUGAUCCAGCCAUGCCGCGUGCAGGAUGAAGGCCUUCGGGUUGUAAACUGCUUUUGUACGGAACGAAAAGGUUUGGCCUAAUAAGCUGAGCUCAUGACGGUACCGUAAGAAUAAGCACCGGCUAACUACGUGCCAGCAGCCGCGGUAAUACGUAGGGUGCGAGCGUUAAUCGGAAUUACUGGGCGUAAAGCGUGCGCAGGCGGUUAUGUAAGACAGAUGUGACAUCCCCGGGCUCAACCUGGGAACUGCAUUAGUGACUGCAUAGCUGGAGUACGGCAGAGGGGGGAUGGAAUUCCGCGUGUAGCAGUGAAAUGCGUAGAUAUGCGGAGGAACACCGAUGGCGAAGGCAAUCCCCUGGGCCUGUACUGACGCUCAUGCACGAAAGCGUGGG
rnacentral:rRNA from 1 species